rnacentral:rRNA from 1 species
AUUGAACGCUGGCGGCAGGCCUAACACAUGCAAGUCGAGCGGAGCGGCGGACGGGUGAGUAAUGCCUAGGAAUCUGCCUGGUCGUGGGGGAUAACGUCCGGCAACGGGCCCUAAUACCGCAUCCUCUCAGAUGAGUCUAGGUCGGAUUAGCUAGUGGGUGGGGUAAAGGCAUACGAAGGCGACGAUCCGUAACUGGUCUGCGAGGAUGAUCAGUCACACUGGAACUGAGACACGGUCCAGACUCCUACGGGAGGCAGCAGUGGGGAAUAUGGGACAAUGGGCGAAAGCCUGAUCGAGCCAUGCCGCGGGUGUGAAGAAGGUCUCCGGAUUGUAAAGCACUUUAAGUUGGGAGGCGUUACCAACAGAAGAAGCACCGGCUAACUUCGUGCCAGCAGCCGCGGUAAUAC